GCCUAAAGCGUCCGUAGCUUGCUGUGUAAGUCCAUUGGGAAAUCGACCAGCUCAACUGGUCGGCGUCCGGUGGAAACUACACAGCUUGGGGCCGAGAGACUCAACGGGUACGUCCGGGGUAGGAGUGAAAUCCUGUAAUCCUGGACGGACCACCAAUGGGGAAACCACGUUGAGAGACCGGACCCGACAGUGAGGGACGAAAGCCAGGUCUCGAACCGGAUUAGAUACCCGGGUAGUCCUGGCUGUAAACAAUGCUCGCUAGGUAUGUCACGCGCCAUGAGCACGUGAUGUGCCGUAGUGAAGACGAUAAGCGAGCCGCCUGGGAAGUACGUCCGCAAGGAUGAAACUUAAAGGAAUUGGCGGGGGAGCACCACAACCGGAGGAGCCUGCGGUUUAAUUGGACUCAACGCCGGACAUCUCACCGGUCCCGACAGUAGUAAUGACGGUCAGGUUGACGACUUUACCCGACGCUACUGAGAGGAGGUGCAUGGCCGCCGUCAGCUCGUACCGUGAGGCGUCCUGUUAAGUCAGGCAACGAGCGAGACCCACACUUCUAGUUGCCAGCAACACCCCUGCGGUGGUUGGGUACACUAGGAGGACUGCCAUUGCUAAAAUGGAGGAAGGAAUGGGCAACGGUAGGUCAGUAUGCCCCGAAUGGACCGGGCAACACGCGGGCUACAAUGGCUCUGACAGUGGGAUGCAACGCCGAGAGGCGAAGCUAAUCUCCAAACGGAGUCGUAGUUCGGAUUGCGGGCUGAAA
rnacentral:rRNA from 1 species